CACGUCAGCGCGCUUUGCUGACGUGGACACAAAUAGCGCUUACGUGGGCUCUAUUUGUGUCCAUAUCAGCAAAGUGCGCUGAUGUGG
rfam:Gossypium raimondii Chr05_contig_1355, whole genome shotgun sequence.